AGAGUUUGAUCCUGGCUCAGGAUGAACGCUAGCGGCAGGCUUAAUACAUGCAAGUCGAGGGGCAGCAGCUUUAUAGCAAUAUAGAGGCUGGCGACCGGCAAACGGGUGCGGAACACGUACACAACCUUCCUUGAAUAGGGGGAUAGCCCUUAGAAAUGUGGAUUAAUACCCCGUAGUAUAGCGGUGUGGCAUCACACUGUUAUUAUAGUUUCGGCGAUUCGAGAUGGGUGUGCGGCUGAUUAGGUAGUUGGCGGGGUAAAGGCCCACCAAGCCUUCGAUCAGUAGCUGAUGUGAGAGCAUGAUCAGCCACACGGGCACUGAGACACGGGCCCGACUCCUACGGGAGGCAGCAGUAAGGAAUAUUGGUCAAUGGACGCAAGUCUGAACCAGCCAUGCCGCGUGAAGGAUGAAGGUCCUCUGGAUUGUAAACUUCUUUUAUAGGGGGCGAAAAAAGGUCUUUCUAGAUCACUUGACAGUACCCUAUGAAUAAGCACCGGCUAACUCCGUGCCAGCAGCCGCGGUAAUACGGAGGGUGCAAGCGUUAUCCGGAUUCACUGGGUUUAAAGGGUGCGUAGGCGGGUAGGUAAGUCAGAGGUGAAAUCCUGGAGCUUAACUCCAGAACUGCCUUUGAUACUAUCUAUCUUGAAUAUGGUGGAGGUAAGCGGAAUAUGUCAUGUAGCGGUGAAAUGCAUAGAUAUGACAUAGAACACCUAUUGCGAAGGCAGCUUACUACGCCUAUAUUGACGCUGAGGCACGAAAGCGUGGGGAUCAAACAGGAUUAGAUACCCUGGUAGUCAAGGGCGAAUUCGUUUAA
rnacentral:rRNA from 1 species